CAGGACAAUAGAAAGACGGAAAGAAGGAAGGAGAGAAAAGAGAGAGAAGGGAGGGAAAAGGACAAAAGAAACAAGGAGGGAGGGAGGAAAAGAAAGAAAGAGAGAAGUAAUGAAGGAAGGAAGAAAAAGGAGAAAGGAGUGAGGGAGAAGGACAAAAAAAAAAAAACAGAAGGGAGGGAGGAGCAGCCAGCCCCAAAGAGCGAGCCCGUUGAAGAAAGAAAAGAGGAAAAGAGAAAGAAAACAGAAAGAUGGGAGUGAGAAGAGGUGGAAGAAAGGAAGGAAAGGAGAGAGAGGGAGAGGGAGAGAAAAGGAAGGGAUGAAAGAGAGAGAGAAAAAAAGGGGGGGAAAGGAAGGAAAGGAGGGCGAGAGAGAGGGAGAAGGAAUAAAGGAAACAAAACAAAACAAAAAGUCCUUCUCAUGACUCUGGAAGUCCUGUGCUGAACUAUUCAGAGCUGGGACUGCAGUAAAACCAUUCAGCUAAUGGCCGAUGUUGCAGAAAAGAAAGGAUCUGACAGCUCUGGAAAGACUUUAUGGCCAAGAGGAGAUUCCAGGAUGAAGGAAUAGUAAUUGCACAAAUAGCCUCGUCCACUCAUGGAAUGAUCACGUCUUGUGAAUGGAAAGUGGCCCUUCAGUGCUGAUCAAGUGUUUACUCAACUUAAAUCUCACAUUAGGGGUGUGCACGAACCAUUCAAUGCCAAACUGGUUCAGCAGCUUGAUUGUGAAACAAACCAGGGAUGGUACGGUCCGCAAUCAAACUGAACCAAGCCUGGUUUGGGUGAACUGGUUUGGCAUUGAGUGGGUGGUCAAGGGGUAGCAAGAGAAGUAGUUUAAAGGUCUUACUUGUCCAGAGGACCUGCCAGUGCCACCUCUCACCCCCCUGGUGCAGCCAAAUCUCAUGCAAUGCCUCUUUAGCAAGCUGCCCGCAUGGCGGUGGCACAGAUCCAGAUGCAUGGAGGCCAUGCAAAUGUGGCCUCACCAGAUUCCUCUUUACAAAUACAACCACUCAAACCGCCAAACUGGUUUGGUCAAACAGACCGAACCAGCCGGUUCUGUCCGAACAACAAUUUUUGGCUGGUGCACACCCCUACCUUAGAAAACUAAUGGCUGGCUUUGCAAAAACAAGGUACCUGAAUAUCUUCAACUAUACAUGAACGUAGCGAGUGAGCUGUCCCUUCUCAAUGAGCUAGUUCUGAGGACUGAUUGUUUGGUGGUGCCAACCUCCUUAAAAGCAAAACUGAUCAAAAUUUCUCACCAAGGUCACCUCGGCAUGAGCUUGACUAGAAGGUGGAUCAGAGAAAGCUUUUGGUGGCCAAGUAUGGACAAACACUUUGGAAAUGUAAUCCAGCACUGUGUGGCUUGUUCUGGAUCUGACAAAUCCUAGAAGACUUUUACCACCCCCUUGACUCCAAUAGAGUAUCCUGAUGGUCUCUGGGGAAAACUUGUUCUGGAUAUAAUAGGGACUUUUGAUAACCAACCUGCAAAACAAAGAUUUGUUAUAAUGAUGGUGGAUUACUAUUCCAGAUGGCCAAAAGUUUCAUUUGCUGACAACAUUACCACAAACAAGGUGAUCCUGUUCAUGGCUGCAGUUUUUGUGAUAGAAGGGCUUCCUAAAUAACUAGUGACUAACAAUGGGACACAGCUUACCUCGUUUGAAAUGGAGCAAUACUUGCAUAACCAUGGGAUAAAACACAAGAAUCUUUCUUUGUUCCUUCCUCAAGGGACUGGUUUAAUGGAAAGAAUGAACAGAUUAUUGAAAGAAAGUUUACAACUGGCUGUUAUGCAAUCCAUGAAACUAUUUGCUAAUUGAACUUCUUAUUCUACUACUGGAAAAUCACCUUUUGAACUUCUGAAAGGACACAAAGCUAUGGCCAGACUUAUCAUAUGGCAACAACUGAUAUGGCUUUCCAUGCUAUCUCACCCUGAGGAUGCAGAGAUUUGUGACCAGAUAAGGGAGAAGCAACAAAAAUAUAAACUGUAUAUUGAUCAGAAAUGGGAUGCAAAACAGCAGACAUUUCAAUUUGGGGACUUUGUUAUAAAGUGUUUAUAAAGUGUGAAAGGGAUGUUCCCGAUAUUUUAGACCAGAACAAAUAAUCAAAAUCCAAGGAGAUUCUGUCGUAUUGGAUGAUGGAAAGAAAUGGAACAAUUCAAGGCUUUCCAGCAUGCAUACUAUGAGACAAGAGGGAGGGGAGUCUGAUCUCAAGAGUGGAACUGAAGAGGAAUUUGAUCCUGCCUCUAGUUUAGACCUCGCAGAUGAGGCUGAUGAAAACGAUGGACAACCCUCGGUACCAGAACAAAUAGCUCCUGUGCCAGAGAACCUAAGAAUUAGGAGAAAUGUAUGUGACAGGAGACCACCUAAAAGAUUUAAAGACUUUGUUACUACAUUUUAAAAAUAAUUCAAUUUUGGUUGUUAUAAAGAAGAGGAAUUUGUUGUAUUCUGUCUAGUUAUCUUUUGUGUUUUGUUGUCUCGAGGUUUUUCCCAGUAGGGGUCCUGUAGAGAAUGGGUGUGUGUGUGAAGUCAGAAAGGAAAGGGGAGGAAAUGGAGUUGUUGCUGAAUAAACCUUUAGCUAAAUCUAUCUAGUUUUCUUUGUGUGUAUGAGGCAAGCAGCUAUAAAACACAUCUCUAGGGAACAUACCAUAUCUCCCCCAGUCUUUUCAUUAAGACAACCUGUCCGACUACACAGUGGAAUCUCCUUUACCCAGUCUACCUGAGCUUGCAGAAUCCGGCCUCAGGAUAGGGAUAGGGAGGGGUUAAGCGUCACUCUGAGUCUCCUCAGAGUGAGGAGCUUGUUCGCUCCUCAUGCGGGCCUCUCUCCGGAGGACCCAGCACUCAUCCACUGCCAGCCACUCAUCCCUGGCCAGCUCCUUAAAUGCUCCCUCUCAGGAUGUGCACCUCCCACCUCCAAUUAUGGGGCCAAUGCCCCUCUUUAUUAGCCCAUUAUCGCUAGCAGCUGUGCUCCCCUUCAUCCCUGUUCCGCCCUCCUUCCCUUCAUGCCCCAUCCCUUUGGGUGACAUCACUCCCGCUUGCCUCCCCUGGAGCUCUCCCUGGCCUUGGCUUCCUGCCCACAGUGCUGCUCGGCUGGGAGGCUGGUUGGGCCCAGGGUUGGACUCAUCGACAUGCCACCCUCCUUCCUUGUCUGCCUGCUGCCUGCUUCUGCAGAUUUGGACUACUGCCCAGCUUCAUCCUUGUCAGUAAGGGCGGCCGGUGUGACCAGACACAACCACAGCAAAGUUCUGUGGACAGCAUGAGUAAGGCCUACUAAGGUUAUUUGGGCUUUGCAUGCGGUUAGCCUGCAAAAUGGGUUGGGUUUAGCCUGCUUGUAAAAUGAAUCUGAAAGAUCCUUGUAUAUAUGAAAUUCAAAAUGCAUGGGUUUAGCCUGCUUAGAAAAUGUAUCUAAAAUAUAGAUAUGUAAUUCAUAUAUGGUGAAAAUCCCAUUCCCAAAUACUCCUUUGUGCAAUCUUUAAUAUGGCACUGAGAUCACACUUUGAAAAGAUCGACAUCUUUCAGGGGAGGAAACAAACUUUGUAUACUGUCAUUUGUUGUUAUUAAGACAAGAAAAAUGUUUGACAAUGGGUGGCCUCCAUGGUUUCCCUUCUUCAAGAAUAAAUUGUCUCCUCUGAAAAAAAAAGGA